UACGUAGGGCGCAAGCGUUGUCCGGAUUUAUUGGGCGUAAAGAGCUCGUAGGCGGUCUGUCGCGUCGGCUGUGAAACCCCGAGGCUCAACCUCGGGCCUGCAGUCGAUACGGGCAGACUAGAGUGUGGUAGGGGAGACUGGAAUUCCUGGUGUAGCGGUGAAAUGCGCAGAUAUCAGGAGGAACACCGGUGGCGAAGGCGACUCACUGGCCCGAUACUGACGCUGAGGCGCGAAAGCGUGGGGAGCAAACAGG
rnacentral:rRNA from 1 species